CCUGCUCACUGAUAAUUUGAAGAGCUGCAGUAUUUUGACUGUACAAAGGUAGCAUAAUCAUUAGUUUUUUAAUUGGAGGCUGGUAUGAAGGGUUAGACGUGAUUUAACUGUCUUUAUUUUAUUUAGUGAAAUUAAUUUUUUUGUGAAAAAGCAUAAGUGAGGUAAAGGGACAAGAAGACCCUAUUAAAUUUUAAUAUUUUAUUUAUUAUUAUAGAUAAAUUGAAGUGAAGGGAAAUAUUUUAUUUGGGGCGAAUAGUAUUAGUCUACAAUAUUUAAAUGUAAUAAUUUUUGUGUCAGAUUAGUUGAUCUAAUAUUAGAUUAAGUGCAAGAAAAAAUUACUGUAGGGAUAACAGCGUAAUAUUUUUUGAGAGUUCAUAUUGACAAUAAUGUUUGCGACCUCGAUGUUGGAUUAAGAAGUCUAUUUGACGCAUAGGUUGUAUUAGAUGGUCUGUUCGACCAUUAAAUUCUUACAUGAUCUGAGUUCAGACCGGCG
rnacentral:rRNA from 1 species